AUUUGGAAAAAUUAUAAAAUUUACCAUAUUUUCUCAAUUUCUUAUGCAAUUUACCAUAAUUUUUCCUCCCUUACACAUCAUACCACAUUUCCACUUAAAAUAUCUAUAUUGCCCUCACCAUUUCUUCUCUAUUUUGUUUCUCCUUUCUCGAGAUCCGUGCGCUUUAACCACACAUCACUAUCUUUCCGAAGACAAAAUGAAACGUUUUUGUCUCUCUCACUUCUCCUGACAACGUGCACAUAUUCUUUACAUAUAACUUUUAAUUUAUUUUGUCCCCUAAUUUCUAUUCAUCAUAAAUUUUCCGUUAUGUCUAGAUCUUGUCUCCGAUUUUCACCAUCUUUCAAUAUUAUCAUGAAUCCCACAUUUUAUCCACCAAUUAUUCUCAUUUAAGGUUUCUAAUUUGAUUUAGAUUUUCACCAUUUAUUUUGGUCCACAGAUUAGUUGAGCAUUAUUGUUUUCACCGACACGAUUUUUUUUUCUUCUAUUGUAAAAUAACAAAAACAUCCAGUUAUUACAUAUCAUCUUGUCUAUUAUUCGAUCUGAAUUUGUCCCCGAUCUAAUUCUAUUACUCAUUCGAUAUGAACUUGUCCCCGAUAUAAUAUAUUAUUAAAAUAUGUAAACGUGUAGGUGAAGACAAUAACGCUCAACUAAUCUGUGGACCAAAAUAGAUGACGAAAAAUCUAAAUAAAAUUUAAAAUUCUUAAAUGAGAACAAUUGCAUAUAACGUGUAGGAUUCAUAAUAAUAGAGCAAGAUGAUGAAAUCGAAAACAAAACGUAGAUGCAACAGAUUUCUAUUCGGGGACAAGAUCUGGAGACUAAAACAAAAGUCUGUCACCAGUUGUACUCCGCUAACAGGUAAUUAUGUCCCCUAAUGCAUUAUAUAUUACGUUGUCCCCCGCUAGCAGGUAAUCACAUCUCCUAAUGUAUUAUAUAUUACGUUGUCCCCCGCAGAAUUUCUCCGCUAACAGGUAAUCAUGUCCCCUAAUGCAUUAUAUAUUACGUUGUCUCCCGCUAGCAGGUAAUCAUGUCUCCUAAUGUAUUAUAUAUUACGUUGUCCCCCGCAGAAUUUUGGAUAACCAAUUUUUUUAAACAAGUCAAUUUUAAAUACCCAAUAACAGUAGAAGCCAGCUGUUCUCCACUAUUCUCUCUCCUAAUCUUUUAUGUUUCCACCAUGAUUUUUUGUCAUGUAUCAUCACAUCAGUUAAAAGCUGUCACCAUCUAAGUCAGUCCCUGACCCACUUUAAGGGCAUUUUUGUCCACGAAUUACCAAGUGAAGUAAAAUGUGGUAGAUAUUGUAAGCUGAACUAGAAUAUGGUAGAAAUUGUAAGAUUGGACCAAUAAUAUGGCAGAUUUUGCAAAAUUUCCUACAUAUUUCAAGCUUCUACCUCUAGUUCACUACUUUCGUUAUUAAAUAAGCCCAAUUACUCUCACGUUACUAUUCUACAUGUGUUAUCUAUAUUUGGUUAGGCAGUUAUCAACGCUUUCACGACAUUGUAAAAUUUUUAGACUGAAUGCAUUCCAUAAAAUGAUGUUUAAUUUGAGACCGAAUGCAUUCCAUAAAAAUUG
rnacentral:sRNA from 1 species